UAGGGAAUUUUCGUCAAUGGGGGAAGCCCUGAACGAGCAAUGCCGCGUGUGUGAAGAAGGUCUUCGGAUCGUAAAGCACUGUUGUAAGUGAAGAAUGCCACAUAGAGGAAAUGCUAUGUGGGUGACGGUAGCUUACCAGAAAGCCACGGCUAACUACGUGCCAGCAGCCGCGGUAAUACGUAGGUGGCAAAGCGUUAUCCGGAAUCAUUGGGCGUAAAGGGUGCGUAGUGGCACGAUAAGUCUGAAGUAAAAGGCAACAGCUCAACUGUUGUAUGCUUUGGAAACUGUCGAGCUAGAGUGCAGAAGAGGGCGAUGGAAUUCCAUGUGUAGCGGUAAAAUGCGUAGAUAUAUGGAGGAACACCAGUGGCGAAGGCGGUCGCCUGGUCUGUAACUGACACUGAUGCACGAAAGCGUGGGGAGCAAAUAGGAUUAGAACC
rnacentral:rRNA from 1 species